AUGGUCCCUGUGGGAAUGUGCCUCCUCUAUGACCUAAAGUCAAGAGAGAUAGAAUCCAGUACUGCCCAGAAGGUAACUCAAGCUCAACCAGCAAUGUUAGUGCAGGAGAAGGGGGCUGUCACUUUGGAAUGCACAUAUAUAACACCAGUGACCCAAGUUAUAGUCUGUUGUGGUACAAGCAGCCCAGCAGUGGGGGCGAUGAUUUUCCUUAUUCUUUAGGAUUCUUACAGCCAGCAAAAUGCCACAGAAGGUCGCUACUCACUGAAUUUCCAGAAGACAAGAAAAUCCAUCCAACUUGUCAUCUCAGCUUCAGAGCUGGAGGACUCCGCAGUGUAUUUCUGUGCACUGAGGGAGCCCACAGUGAGAGGUGUGAUGGAGGGAGUUGUACCCAAACCCCAGGGCUCUUCCUGAUGCAUCUCCCUGCUGUAGGGCCCAAGGCAGGGAAUUGCUGUCCCCGACAGGAAGUGGUUAGUAUUGAGGCAACACAGGUUCAGGCUUAG